CCCUUAGAUGUUCUGGGAUGCACGCGCGUUACACUGAUUCGUUCAACGAGUUUAUGACCUUGCCUGAUGAGGUGGGGGAAUCUUUUCAAAUCGCAUCGUGAUGGGGAUAGAGUAUUGUAACUGUUAGUCUUCAACGAGGAAUUCCUAGUAAGUACGUGUCAUCAGCUCGUACUGAUUAUGUCCCUGCCCUUUGUACACACCGCCCGUCGCUCCCACCGAUUGAGUGCUCAGGUGAAUAGUAUGGACUGCAUCAGUGUUCGGUCUCCGAAUGUUGACGCGAGAAAUUCUGUGAAUCUUAUUGCUUAGAGGAAGGAGAANUCGUANCA
rnacentral:rRNA from 1 species